UAUUGGACAAUGGGGGGAACCCUGAUCCAGCGACGCCGCGUGAGUGAAGAAGUAUCUCGGUAUGUAAAGCUCUAGCAGCAGGGAAGAAGAAAUGACGGUACCUGAGGAAGAAGCACCGGCUAACUACGUGCCAGAAGCCGCGGUAAUACGUAGGGUGAAAGCGUUAUACGGAAUUACUGGGUGUAAAGGGAGCGUAGACGGUGAUGUAAGUCUGGAGUGAAAGGCGGGGGCCCAACCCCCGGACUGCUCUGGAAACUAUGUGACUGGAGUGCAGGAGAGGUGAGCGGAAUUCCUAGGGUAGCGGUGAAAUGCGUAGAUAUUAGGAGGAACACCAGUGGCGAAGGCGGCUCACUGGACUGUAACUGACGUUGAGGCUCGAAAGCGUGGGGAGCAAACAGG
rnacentral:rRNA from 1 species